rnacentral:rRNA from 1 species
AGGGAAGAGCUCAAAUUUUGAAUCUGGCGUCUUUGGCGUCCGAAUUGUAAUCUAGAGAAGUGUUUUCCGUGAUGGACUGUGCACAAGUCUCCUGGAAUGGAGCGUCAUAGAGGGUGAGAAUCCCGUAUAUGGCACAGACUACCGUUGCUCUGUGAUACACUCUCGAC